AUACGUAGGGGGCAUGCGUUAUCCGGAUUUACUGGGUGUAAAGGGAGCGUAGGCGGCAAGGCAAGUCUGAUGUGAAAACCCGGGGCUCAACCCCGGGACUGCAUUGGAAACUGCUUAGCUAGAGUGUCGGAGAGGUAAGUGGAAUUCCUAGUGUAGCGGUGAAAUGCGUAGAUAUUAGGAGGAACACCAGUGGCGAAGGCGACUUACUGGACGAUAACUGACGCUGAGGCUCGAUAGCGUGGGGAGC
rnacentral:rRNA from 1 species